rnacentral:rRNA from 1 species
GACAGAGGGUGCAAACGUUGUUCGGAAUUACUGGGCGUAAAGCGCGUGUAGGCGGCCAAGCAAGUCGGAUGUGAAAGCCCUCGGCUCAACCGGGGAAGUGCACUCGAAACUGCAUGGCUAGAGUCUCGGAGAGGAUCGUGGAAUUCUCGGUGUAGAGGUGAAAUUCGUAGAUAUCGAGAGGAACACCGGUGGCGAAGGCGGCAUCCUGGACCACCACUGACGCUGAGGAGCGAAAGCCAGGGGAGCAAACGGG